GCGGGUGAAAANUNGUAGAGAUGUGGAGGNNACNCCCAGUGGGCGAANGGCGGCUUUUUUGGUCUGUAACUGACGNNGAGGNGAGAAANNGUGGGGAGCAAACAGGAUUAGAUACCCUGGUAGUUCCCNCCGUAAACGAUGAGNNNUAAGUGUUAGAGGGUUUCCNCCCUUUAGUGCUGCAGNUAACGCAUUAAGCANUCCGCNNGGGGAGUACGGUNGCAAGNNUGAAACUCAAAGGAAUUGACGGGGGCCCGCCCAAGCGGUGGAGCAUGUGGUUUAAUUGGAAGCAACGGGAAGAACCUUACCAGGUCUUGACAUCCUCUGACAACUCUAGAGAUAGAGCGUUCCCCUUCGGGGGACAGAGUGACAGGUGGUGCAUGGUUGUCGUCAGCUCGUGUCGUGAGAUGUUGGGUUAAGUCCCGCAACGAGCGCAACCCUUGAUUUUAGUUGCCACCAUUAAGUUGGCCACUUUAAGGUGACUGCCGGUGACAAACCGGAGGAAGGUGGGGAUGACGUCAAAUCAUCAUGCCCCUUAUGGCCUGGGCUACACACGUGCUACAAUGGAUGGUACAAAGGGAUGCAAGGCCGCGAGGUCAAGCCAAUCCCAUAAAACCAUUNUCAGUUCGGAUUGUAGGCUGCAACUCGCCUCCAUGAAGCUGGAAUCGUUAGUAAUCGCGGAUCAGCAUGCCGCGGUGAAUACGUUCCCGGCCCUUGUACACACCGCCCGUCACACCACGAGAGUUUGUAACACCAGAAGUCGGUGGGGUAACCCUUANGGAGCC
rnacentral:rRNA from 1 species